rnacentral:rRNA from 1 species
AGUCAUAUGCUUGUCUCAAAGAUUAAGCCAUGCAUGUCUCAGUACAAGCCGAAUUAAGGUGAAACCGCGAAAGGCUCAUUAAAUCAGUUAUGGUUCCUUAGAUCGUACCCACAUUUACUUGGAUAACUGUGGUAAUUCUAGAGCUAAUACAUGCAAACAGAGCUCCGACCGGAGACGGAAGGAGCGCUUUUAUUAGAUCAAAACUAAUCGGCGGCGGCUUCGGCCGUUCGUCGUACACCUUGGUGAAUCUGAAUAACUUUCUGCUGAUCGCAUGGUCUCGCACCGGCGACGCAUCUUUCAAAUGUCUGCCUUAUCAACUGUCGAUGGUAGGUUCUGCGCCUACCAUGGUUGUAACGGGUAACGGGGAAUCAGGGUUCGAUUCCGGAGAGGGAGCCUGAGAAACGGCUACCACAUCCAAGGAAGGCAGCAGGCGCGCAAAUUACCCACUCCCGGCACGGGGAGGUAGUGACGAAAAAUAACGAUACGGGACUCAUCCGAGGCCCCGUAAUCGGAAUGAGUACACUCUAAACCCUUUAACGAGGAUCAAUUGGAGGGCAAGUCUGGUGCCAGCAGCCGCGGUAAUUCCAGCUCCAAUAGCGUAU